GAUGAACGCUGGCGGCAUGCCUAAUACAUGCAAGUCGAACGGUAACAGGAAACAGCUUGCUGCUUCGCUGACGAGUGGCGGACGGGUGAGUGAUGUCUGGGAAACUGCCUGAUGGAGGGGGAUAACUACUGGAAACGGUAGCUAAUACCGCAUAACGUCGCAAGACCAAAGAGGGGGACCUUCGGGCCUCUUGCCAUCGGAUGUGCCCAGAUGGGAUUAGCUAGUAGGUGGGGUAACGGCUCACCUAGGCGACGAUCCCUAGCUGGGCUGAGAGGAUGACCAGCCACACUGGAACUGAGACACGGUCCAGACUCCUACGGGAGGCAGCAGUGGGGAAUAUUGCACAAUGGGCGCAAGCCUGAUGCAGCCAUGCCGCGUGUAUGAAGAAGGCCUUCGGGUUGUAAAGUACUUUCAGCGGGGAGGAAGGGAGUAAAGUUAAUACCUUUGCUCAUUGACGUUACCCGCAGAAGAAGCACCGGCUAACUCCGUGCCAGCCGCCGCGGUAA
rnacentral:rRNA from 1 species